GUGCAGCAGGCGAGAAACUUUCGCAAUGGGCGAAAGCCUGACGAAGCGACGCCGUGUGAGCGAAGAAGGCCUUCGGGUUGUAAAGCUCUUUCGCUUGGGAACAAGAGAGGCUGGCAAAUAACCAGCCGAUUUGAGGGUACCAGGUAAAGAAGCACCGGCUAACUCCGUGCCAGCAGCUGCGGUAAUACGGAGGGUGCAAGCAUUAAUCGGAUUUAUUGGGCGUAAAGGGCGCGUAGGCGGGGAUGAAAGUCAGAUGUGAAAUCCCGGGGCUCAACCUCGGAACUGCAUUUGAUACUCCAUCUCUUGAGGAUAGGCGGAGAAAACGGAAUUCCACGUGUAGCGGUGAAAUGCGUAGAUAUGUGGAAGAACACCGGUGGCGAAAGCGGUUUUCUAGCUUAAACCUGACGCUGAGGCGCGAAAGCAAGGGGAUCAAACAGGAUUAGAUACCCCCGUAGUCC
rnacentral:rRNA from 1 species